CCUACGGGUGGCAGCAGUGAGGAAUAUUGGUCAAUGGACGAGAGUCUGAACCAGCCAAGUAGCGUGAAGGAUGACUGCCCUAUGGGUUGUAAACUUCUUUUAUAAAGGAAUAAAACUAGGCUCGUGUGCCUUUUUGCAUUUACUUUAUGAAUAAGGAUCGGCUAACUCCGUGCCAGCAGCCGCGGUAAUACGGAGGAUCCGAGCGUUAUCCGGAUUUAUUGGGUUUAAAGGGAGCGUAGAUGGGUUGUUAAGUCAGUUGUGAAAGUUUGCGGCGCAACCGUAAAAUUGCAAUUGAUACUGGCAGUCUUGAGUACAGUAGAGGUAGGCGGAAUUCGUGGUGUAGCGGUGAAAUGCUUAGAUAUCACGAAGAACCCCGAUUGCGAAGGCAGCUUACUAAACUGUGACUGACAUUGAUGCUCGAAAGUGUGGGGAUCAAACAGGAUUAGAUACCCCUGUAGUC
rnacentral:rRNA from 1 species